AUUAAAACACCGGUUCCCGUAUGAUCACUGAAGUUAAGCAACAUCAAACUUGGUCAGUACCUAGAUGGGCAACCACUUGAGAAUACCAGGGGCUGUAAG